CCUUCGAUAGCUCAGUUGGAAGAGCGUGAGACUGUAAUCGGUUUCUCUGCCCAACCCUGGUUGACAUCUCAAGGUCGCUGGUUCGAUCCCGGCUCGAAGGA